CUGAUCCUACUCAUCCUUCUGCAUGGGUAACUCUGGUCUGGUGCUUUUGUCUGUUUGUAUCUCUUUCCUGUCCUCUCAACCUCCUGCCGGUUGAAGUAGACGACCACUCUUCCUGAGUUUGCCUCUGCUGGAGGUCCCUUCCUGUAAAAAGGGAGUUCCGCCCUUUACUGUUGAUACCAUCCUGUGUUUGCUCAGGAAGGGAGUGUGGGAGUAGUGAGGUCUGGGAGAUCACGACCCUAAUUCUCUCUAAGACAGACGGUUUAAUUAACACUGGAGGAAUCAUCACCGACUAGACCUCUACUAAAAGAAUGUACAGGGAAAUUACACUGCACAGGUCUUGGACGUUUAGUGGACCAGAAAGCUGACAUAUGAUGCCCAUGAAUGAUGGAUGAUAUCUUCUUGGUGCCAGUUGAAUGAAUUUUAAAGCAAUGAUACGACCCCUGUCAUUGUGGCCCACAUUGGCAGAAGACCACCUCACAGGGAUUUUCCUCUUCACCAGGUUGCAUGUCUUCUGUUGGCUUCCACGACCAGUCCAGGUCAAGACUACAAACACCUCUUUGACUGAUCUCGGCAAAAAUCCUUCUGCUGUCAUCGAAUUGCUCCACCAUCCUCAGUCACCUGGCUGCCCACUGCUCAAUAUCAUUUUUGUUAAGGUUUCAAACAUUCGUCUGAUCACCUCCCAAUAAAACCCGACCUGGAUUUUAACGUCAUACAGAGCAGUCUUCAUUCUACAACCAGUUUUCUAACUUUCCCUGAAAAUUAUCCACUGAAUACAGAACAACCUAUCUAAAGACACAUUACAGGAGUCUUUCUGUUUGCAGUCAUCUUUGUUGUAAAUCACAGACCACUUUCUGGUGAUAUUUCUCAAUAUUGAAUUAAAAGUUGAAUGCUAUAUUUUCUUUUUAUCUUUAAAUACUAAACAAAGAUGAAUAAAAAAGGCCAUAAUUUUUCAGCAAAAGCAAUAGUAAUACCCAAAAGUGGCAUAUUAGAAUGAUCACACAUUCUUCAAAGCUGUGAUACGGUUCCACAAAGUUUGCACCAUUUCUUAAGUUUGUACUGUUAGUUUAAUUUGAUUAAACCUGAAAAUCACAUUAUGGUAAAAAAGUGUUAGAGCAGCUUAGGGUUCAAAUAGCAGGUGGCAGUCGUGAAUAUAACAAUAACCCAAGGUAGUUUUUUUUGUUUAGUAUUCAUAAAAAACAAACUUGGAUUUAAUGAUUCCGCUCUGAGAGCAGUUAAGGGUUUAUGAAACUAACUGUGAUAAUUUCAAAAAUGGGAUACUUAGUUUUCUCAAAAACUGUUAAAGCAUUGCUGCCUCUUGACUCUAAUCCUGACAUCAGUCUACAGCAGGUGGCCUCGAGUACUAACAUAUUUCUACCCUACAAUAAACAUUGAGUGUUUUAAUUCUUAAUAUUUUCUUAUGAGGAGUAAAUUUUUUUGCAGAAUGCCAGGAACUGGUGUGUUUGCCCCUGUGAGGUUUGCAGAAUGAAACAGCUCACUGUGAAUGCCAUGUAUGCAAACACUACACUGUAAGUACGUAGACACAUAGCAGGGAAUUGCGGUAAAAGAAAAAUGUUUAAAAAGUAGAAAACAAUUAAUUGAAAAUUUUUAAAACUUUUUCAGGGAUGACCAGAGGAGAGUGGUAAAAGGUUAAAAACAAAUCGCAAUAAUUUAAUAUCAGACACGGGUGUGUAGAUAGUAGAAAAUAUUGGAAUAAAAUCAUGUUAAAAGACAAUUAAAGGUACAUCCUGAGUAAAAAUAAGAACAUUACUGCAAUUUUAGAAUUGAGAACAAAAAAAAAUAAAAAAUAAAUUAG